rnacentral:rRNA from 1 species
AUGGCCACCCCUGCUGCCGACGCUAGGACAGGAAGAAUAGGGCCGCGUGAGCCGACGAGGGCUCCGAGGAGUGCGUCCGCCCCAAACCCGACCCCCGCCCCCAGUUAUAUGCUUUGGACUGAGAUUGACAAAUCAUUCCUUGUGUCACAUCUUCUGUGCACUGGCGGUGGAGACUCAAUGGCUGUAGUGCACCUAUAUUUUGGCGUGGACGUACAUGUAGCCAUACCAUGUGAUGGAGGCAUGAAGGAACUGGACGCCGGGUGGGGGUACGGGCGGCCUGGGCAUAGUCACGGUUACAGACUCAUAGCAGGCUCAGGUCAUAUCCUACCGCCGCCGGCCACCACGGAGCAUGCCCCAUCCGCUGCUGGACGCCCCAAUCCAGAGCAACCUAGAGGGCUAUCGCGCGUGCGCCGAAUAGUUUGCUCAGAGCCGGCACAAGCUGUUGGCAUCCCCAUGGGAGCGGAGACGAACCUCUCGUCGCCGCAGCUAGAUCCGACCAAGUCGCGGGAGUCGGUGACCCUACUCAACGACGAUCAGAACUGGAUGUUGGCGCUGCGGGAGUCUGUGUCGUUCGGGCGGUUCCUAGCCGAGCCACUCGAGUGGGAUACUACUGGGCAUGUCUCUCGCUGGCAACGAUGGCGCAUGUCCGAUCACCGUCGACAGCUGAGCUUGAUCUGCCAGUACAUGCCGUGGCGUUCAGACUUCAAUCUGUGUCCUCCAGCUGCAGUGUUGCGCACAUUGGAAGUUCUGGACCAGCCCAGAGUUGUAAUCCAUGCUUGCCUGCGGCUCGUUCGUCACUAA